rnacentral:misc_RNA from 1 species
CUGGAGCUGCAUUGUCAGGAGACUGCAAUCAGCAUGAAUAGGUUUUCCGAUUAUUUAAGUCUACUAUUUUAUUUAUCCUACCUUAACUUAUUGAAAGGUAUUAAUAACAACGGGCUUGUAGCUCAGGUGGUUAGAGCGCUACACUGAUAAUGUAGAGGUCCCUGGUUCGAGUCCAGGCAAGCCCACUUUUGGUCUUUUGACCUGGAUAGAUUUAACAGUUGUUAUUAGUAUACUGAAUAAUAUUAAACAUUGAUACAAACGGUAUCAAUACAUGGUUUUGGGGGAUUAGCUCAGCUGGCUAGAGCACCUGCCUUGCACGCAGGGGGUCAACGGUUCGAAUCCGUUAUUCUCCACACUUCUAAGACAAAUGGUUUUAGAAAAUGUUCUUUGACGUAAUGAUUAAAUAGGUAUAUCAAAGUACUUGAAAAAGUAGUUUGAUAUUACACGAGUGUAAUAUUGAGUAAAUUAUAAUAAAGAAAAUAAAUAAGGGCGUAUGGGGAAUGCCUAGGCUCUCAGAGGCGAAGAAAGACGUGCCAAGCUGCGAAAAGUUACGGGGAUCUGCUGAGGAGAUUUGAUCCGUAAAUGUC